AUGCAUAUGUUACAAAGUAAUUUUCAGAGAUGGUUGAAAUACUGAAGCCUUUGAGAAACACUCAUAGAUGUUCAAUAUUUCUUUCAGGUCAUCAGAUUUUGGGACAUUAUAUACAAAGCUGAAUUUGCAGCCUGGGAUUGCCACAGUCAUUGACAACUUCUAUAUCUGUCCCACCAACAAAAAAAAGAUACUGGCAGGAUUUGGGUGAAAUUAAGUGACUUGCUUUGAUGAUAAUGGAUCUGGAAGGAAACUGUCUUGCAACCGGCUGGAGAGAGAGAAAAAUGAAGUCAAAAACUAACCUGAAAUCCGGCAACAAAAAAAGACUCAACUCCGAAAAGAAUAUUCAAAGUGGUAUUAAAAACCUGGUAAUCAUUGUUGGAGGAAAGAAUUAUAACAUUGUUCCAAAGGUCUGCAAGGACAAACUCUGGGAGCUGUAUUCCCUACGCAGAGAAGGAUUUUGUUGUAUGUUUGGAACAUAUUGAUCAUUCCUGUGUGAUGCAUCUUGUGGAUCUCUCAGAGAAACCUGUGCAUUUCCUCCUCAUUUCACCAAUAAUAAAGCAGCAGCAUGAAUCA
rnacentral:lncRNA from 1 species